UAUUGCACUAUGGGGGAAACCCUGAUGCAGCGACGCCGCGUGAGCGCAGCAUUAUUUCGGGAUGUAAAGCUCUAUCAGCAGGGAAGAAGAUGACGGUACCUGACUACGAAGCUCCGGCUAAAUACGUGCCAGCAGCCGCGGUAAUACGUAGGGGGCAAGCGUUAUCCGGAAUUACUGGGUGUAAAGGGAGCGUAGACGGUGAUGUAAGUCUGGAGUGAAAGGCGGGGGCCCAACCCCCGGACUGCUCUGGAAACUAUGUGACUGGAGUGCAGGAGAGGUGAGCGGAAUUCCUAGUGUAGCGGUGAAAUGCGUAGAUAUUAGGAGGAAUACCAGUGGCGAAGGCGGCUCACUGGACUGUAACUGACGUUGAGGCUCGAAAGCGUGGGGAGCAAACAGG
rnacentral:rRNA from 1 species